CCUGGCUCAGGACGAACGCUGGCGGCGUGCUUAACACAUGCAAGUCGAACGGAAAGGCCCUUUCGGGGGUACUCGAGUGGCGAACGGGUGAGUAACACGUGGGUGAUCUGCCCUGCACUUUGGGAUAAGCCUGGGAAACUGGGUCUAAUACCGAAUACACCUCAUGGGAUGCAUGUUUUGUGGGGGAAAGCUUUUGCGGUGUGGGAUGGGCCCGCGGCCUAUCAGCUUGUUGGUGAGGUUACGGCUCACCAAGGCGACGACGGGUAGCCGGCCUGAGAGGGUGUCCGGCCACACUGGGACUGAGAUACGGCCCAGACUCCUACGGGAGGCAGCAGUGGGGAAUAUUGCACAAUGGGCGCAAGCCUGAUGCAGCGACGCCGCGUGAGGGAUGACGGCCUUCGGGUUGUAAACCUCUUUCGCCAGGGACGAAGCGCGAGUGACGGUACCUGGAGAAGAAGCACCGGCCAACUACGUGCCAGCAGCCGCGGUAAUACGUAGGGUGCGAGCGUUGUCCGGAAUUACUGGGCGUAAAGAGCUCGUAGGUGGUUUGUCGCGUUGUUCGUGAAAACUCACAGCUUAACUGUGGGCGUGCGGGCGAUACGGGCAGACUUGAGUACUGCAGGGGAGACUGGAAUUCCUGGUGUAGCGGUGGAAUGCGCAGAUAUCAGGAGGAACACCGGUGGCGAAGGCGGGUCUCUGGGCAGUAACUGACGCUGAGGAGCGAAAGCGUGGGGAGCGAACAGGAUUAGAUACCCUGGUAGUCCACGCCGUAAACGGUGGGUACUAGGUGUGGGUUUCCUUCCUUGGGAUCCGUGCCGUAGCUAACGCAUUAAGUACCCCGCCUGGGGAGUACGGCCGCAAGGCUAAAACUCAAAGAAAUUGACGGGGGCCCGCACAAGCGGCGGAGCAUGUGGAUUAAUUCGAUGCAACGCGAAGAACCUUACCUGGGUUUGACAUGCACAGGACGUGCCUAGAGAUAGGUAUUCCCUUGUGGCCUGUGUGCAGGUGGUGCAUGGCUGUCGU
rnacentral:rRNA from 1 species